GGAGGUUCUUCUCUAGGAAAAGAAUCUAAGCUUACAGAAAAGGAUUCUCCUAAGAAAGCAUUGAAGAGGAAGCGACAGCCUGUAAAUCGAGCUAACAUAGUUGAGCUCUCUUAGCGCUAAGGACAUUAAUUGUAGCUUAUUUUUGGUGAGAAAUUCAGAACAUAGUUAUAAGCGUGCUUCUCUUCCAUGUUCCUAUAAAACUUGUUUUAG
rnacentral:misc_RNA from 1 species